CACGUAGGGUGCGAGCGUUGUCCGGAAUUAUUGGGCGUAAAGAGCUCGUAGGCGGUCCGUCACGUCGGAUGUGAAAUUCCAGGGCUCAACCCUGGACCUGCAUUCGAUACGGGCGGACUAGAGUUCGGUAGGGGAGACUGGAAUUCCUGGUGUAGCGGUGAAAUGCGCAGAUAUCAGGAGGAACACCGGUGGCGAAGGCGGGUCUCUGGGCCGAAACUGACGCUGAGGAGCGAAAGCGUGGGGAGCGAACAGG
rnacentral:rRNA from 1 species